GACGAACGCUGGCGGCGUGCUUAACACAUGCAAGUCGAGCGGUAAGGCCCUUUCGGGGGUACACGAGCGGCGAACGGGUGAGUAACACGUGGGUGACCUGCCCUCAGCUCUGGGAUAAGCCCGGGAAACUGGGUCUAAUACCGGAUAUGACUCCAUGACGCAUGUUGUGGGGUGGAAAGCCUUGUGCGGCUGAGGAUGGGCCCGCGGCCUAUCAGCUUGUUGGUGGGGUGGUGGCCUACCAAGGCGACGACGGGUAGCCGGCCUGAGAGGGCGACCGGCCACACUGGGACUGAGAUACGGCCCAGACUCCUACGGGAGGCAGCAGUGGGGAAUCUUGCGCAAUGGGCGAAAGCCUGACGCAGCGACGCCGCGUGAGGGAUGACGGCCUCGGUUGUAA
rnacentral:rRNA from 1 species